rnacentral:rRNA from 1 species
AUUGAACGCUGGCGGCAUGCUUUACACAUGCAAGUCGAACGGUAACAGGCCUUCGGGUGCUGACGAGUGGCGAACGGGUGAGUAAUGCAUCGGAACGUGCCCAGAGGUGGGGGAUAACGCAGCGAAAGCUGUGCUAAUACCGCAUGUGAUCUGAGGAUGAAAGCGGGGGACCUGGCAGCAAUGUUUGGCCUCGCGCCUUUGGAGCGGCCGAUGUCAGAUUAGGUAGUUGGUGGGGUAAAGGCCUACCAAGCCGACGAUCUGUAGCUGGUCUGAGAGGACGACCAGCCACACUGGGACUGAGACACGGCCCAGACUCCUACGGGAGGCAGCAGUGGGGAAUUUUGGACAAUGGGCGCAAGCCUGAUCCAGCAAUGCCGCGUGCGGGAAGAAGGCCUUCGGGUUGUAAACCGCUUUUGUACGGAACGAAAAGGCUCUGGCUAAUACCUGGGGCUGAUGACGGUACCGUAAGAAUAAGCACCGGCUAACUACGUG